GACGAACGCUGGCGGCGUGCUUAACACAUGCAAGUCGUACGGUAAGGCCCUUUCGGGGGUACACGAGUGGCGAACGGGUGAGUAACACGUGAGUAACCUGCCCCCAACUUUGGGAUAACGCUAGGAAACUGGUGCUAAUACUGGAUAUGUGCUCCUGCUUCAUGGUGGGGGUUGGAAAGCUCCGGCGGUUGUGGAUGGACUCGCGGCCUAUCGGCUUGCUGGUGGGGUAGUGGCCUACCAAGGCGGCGACGGGUAGCCGGCCUGAGAGGGUGACCGGCCACAUUGGGACUGAGGUACGGCCCAAACUCCUACGGGAGGCAGCAGUGGGGAAUAUUGCACAAUGGGCGCAAGCCUGAUGCAGCAGGGCCGCGUGCGGGAUGACGGCCUUCGGGUUGUAAACCGAUUUCAGCAGGGACGAAGCUUUUUGUGACGGUACCUGCAGAAGAAGCACCGGCUAACUACGUG
rnacentral:rRNA from 1 species